rnacentral:lncRNA from 1 species
UGCGUAACAAAGCCUCAACGUUUCGACUGUAAUGAUUGUGAAAGUAUAAUAAAACUUGAAUUUAUUGUGUUUAGAUCAAUUCAUAAGUCCAUCAGAUGGUCAAAUCAUUCAACUUUUCUCCACUACUAAAAGUACCACUCUACCUUCUUCCACUACUGAGAAUUCUAAACCAGGUAAGGUGUUUGUUUAGCAAUUAGUACACAUUAACAAUGAAAGCAGGUUGGAUAUAUCUAUAUAGAAUGCGUACUUGAUCACGAAUCAUGUCUCCACUUUUUACCAAGCGCGUACCCAAUGGCGUGCCCUUAAAAUCCGUCAUAUUAAAUAUGACAAGGAGUGAAACUACAAGGUAUAACUAUAGCGGGUUUUAGAUCUCGAAUUUGUCGUUUCUUCUUCGCUGUGGUUCUUGCGAAAUCUACUUCUUCAUUGUCAUUUGUCAACAUUUGUGAUAUAUUUGGUUUUAAUAAUUAAACUGUUCUUCGUCGAGGUCCAGUACUGCAGUGUAACGAGACGCUAAAUUACUGUAGACUAACUUCAUUAUACUGGUAUUUAUAUACUGCUAACUCUAUCGUUCUCCCAGAGGUCCAGUAAGCGUAAUCACUUUAGUGUUACAAUGGGAGGAAACCUAAACUAAGUGAAGUUUGCAGUUAAUACCGAUGUUGAUGCGGGAUACCAUAGACAGAUAGCUCUUUCAGUGCUAAACGGCUGUUCUCACCGAUCACUAGUGGUUCAGUGUUACGAAACACUAGGCCAAUCCUAGGCCAAACGGGAAUAAACGCAGGAAAACAAACGAAACUGUUCUACUUGCGAAAAGCCAAAGCACUGCAAAGUUCAGGACGCCUUUUUCUUGUCGUUUAUUUCAAUUUAUAACGACUUUGUGUAUAUUUAACAUUUUGUCCCAACAACGAAAGCUAGAAACGAGACUGCUAUGAAAACGGCCACGCUUUCUCCAGAUUUCUGUGUGGAAAAAGUGAAAAUUUGACAACGUAGAGAUGGCGUUUAUCCAGAG